CCGGAGUGGAGACCUGAGGCUGGUGAUGAGCUGACAAGACCGUGAGGCGCGUCACCAAGAGCGGAUUCCCAGACUUAGGGGAAGGGCAAGGAAAAGUUGUCUCGGAGGAGCCUGCCUUCCCCGGCUCGCCCAGGUCUGAAAUGCUGACGGCCGAAGAGGCGAUCGGCACGCAUUGGACAAACACCGAGGCAUGCUUCAAGUUUUCAUGGUGCAUUUCAGAAAUGGGAGACUGGUGUUUUCCAGAAGACGCACCCCCUCUUUUCUGAUGGCUGAAGGUUCCUUGCACAAGCUCGGUCUUUCCGUUGUAUGACGUUGAUUUACUUUUUUUUUCUUUUAUGGAUGCCCGAUUUGAAGCUUCAGUGUAAAAAGUAGAUUGCCGAAUCACGCUUUUUUUAGGCAAAGCUUCAAGGCCGAAGGCCACUGUAUUACGGAGUUUCAUCAGCCCUUUCCUUGGAAGCACUGGGUUUUUUAGUUUCUCUCUGCUUCUUUGCCCUCCGUAUGGGAGGAGGUGCCCAUGCGAGCGAUGUCAUUUGAUUUCAUGUCUCUUUGAUCCUCUCUUUAAUGCAGUCUUGUACAAGAUAACCUCAUUCUUGUUCCAGUGCGGUUUGUGGAGUUGGAUGUUUACGUACAAAAGGACCCAGAAAGUGGGCCCGUGCUGUUAGGAAGGCUCUUGGAGAAAGACAGCUGGAGUAGCAUCUUGUAGCUGAAAUGGAUCUCGGGGAUGGUCAGGUUCUCCUGCCUCGUUUGCCAGCUUUGAAUCUAUGGUACAAAAGUUGCUUCCUGGGUUAGUCCUAAGGCAGAACACUGGAUCUUCCUUGGCUAUCAAGUACUUUAUUGAAAGAAACAGUCCUUACAAGGCUAAAGAGAACAAAGAAGCAGCAUAUUGUGGUAAGGAGGUAGCUCUUGAAAUCACAAAAAAGUAGGUGCAUAAUGAGAUAUA